rnacentral:rRNA from 1 species
UACAGAGGUCUCAAGCGUUAAUCGGAAUCACUGGGCGUAAAGCGCACGCAGGCGGAUCGAUAAGUCGGGGGUGAAAGCCCGGGGCUCAACCUCGGAAUUGCCUUCGAUACUGUCGGUCUCGAGUCCGGGAGAGGUGAGUGGAAGUCCUAGUGUAGAGGUGAAAUUCGUAGAUAUUAGGAAGAACACCAGUGGCGAAGGCGGCUCACUGGCCCGGUACUGACGCUGAGGCGCGACAGCGUGGGGAGCAAACAGG